GACAGAGGGUGCAAACGCUGUUCGGAAUUACUGGGCGUAAAGCGCGUGUAGGCGGCUCGGCAAGUCGGGUGUGAAAGCCCUGGGCUCAACCCAGGAACUGCACCUGAAACUACCAGUCUUGAGUGGUGGAGAGGGAAGUGGAAUUCCUGGUGUAGAGGUGAAAUUCGUAGAUAUCAGGAGGAACACCAGUGGCGAAGGCGGCUUCCUGGACACUAACUGACGCUGAGACGCGAAAGCGUGGGGAGCAAACAGG
rnacentral:rRNA from 1 species